rnacentral:rRNA from 1 species
CAUGGUGGUAACGGGUAACGGGGUGUUAGGGCACGACACCGGAGAGGGAGCCUGAGAAACGGCUACCACAUCCAAGGAUGGCAGCAGGCGCGCAAAUUACCCAAUCCCGACACGGGGAGGUAGUGACAAUAAAUAACAAUACGGGGUUCUUUAGGAUAAUUGGAAUGAGUACAAUUUAAAUCUCUUAACGAGGAACAAUUGGAGGGCAAGUCUGGUGCCAGCAGCCGCGGUAAUUCCAGCUCCAAUAGCGUAUAUUAAAGUUGUUGCAGUUAAAAAGCUCGUAGUUGAAUUUCGGGGUUAGUAGGUUGGUCAUGCCUCUGGUAUGUACUGGUCUCACUGAUUCCUCCUUCCUUAUGAACCGUAAUGCCAUUAAUUUGGUGUUGCGGGGAAUUUGGACUGUUACUUUGAAAAAAUUAGAGUGUUUAAAGCAAGCUAACGCUUGAAUACAUUAGCAUGGAAUAAUGAAAUAGGACGUUCGAUCUUAUUUUGUUGGUUUCUAGGAUUGACGUAAUGAUUAAUAGGGAUAGUUGGGGGCAUUAGUAUUCAAUUGUCAGAGGUGAAAUUCUUGGAUUUAUUGAAGACUAACUACUGCGAAAGCAUUUGCCAAGGAUGUUUUCAUUAAUCAAGAACGAAAGUUAGGGGAUCGAAGACGAUCAGAUACCGUCGUAGUCUUAACCAUAAACUAUGCCGACUAGGGAUCGGA